AGAGGUUAUGAGGUCAACAUGAUGACACAGAUGUGUACAUGCUACUAUUGUGUACGGGUGUCCCCGUUCCUGGAGUACCAUCCUGUAGGUUUUAACCCCAACCCUGUUCCUGGAGUACCAUCCUGUAGGUUUUAACUCCAACCCUGUUCCUGGAGUACCAUCCUGUAGGUUUUAACUCCAACCCUGUUCCUGGAGUACCAUCCUGUAGGUUUUAACCCCAACCCUGUUCCUGGAGUACCAUCCUGUAGGUUUUAACCCCAACCCUGUUCCUGGAGUACCAUCCUGUAGGUUUUAACCCCAACCCUGUUCCUGGAGUACCAUCCUGUAGGUUUUAACCCCAACCCUGUUCCUGGAGUACCAUCCUGUAGGUUUUAACCCCAACCCUGUUCCUGGAGUACCAUCCUGUAGGUUUUAACCCCAACCCUGUUCCUGGAGUACCAUCCUGUAGGUUUUAACCCCAACCCUGUUCCUGGAGUACCAUCCUGUAGGUUUUAACUCCAACCCUGUUCCUGGAGUACCAUCCUGUAGGUUUUAACUCCAACCCUGUUCCUGAAGAGAUACCAUCCUGUAGGUUUUAACUCCAACCCUGUUCCUGGAGUACCAUCCUGUAGGUUUUAACUCCAACCCUGUUCCUGGAGUACCAUCCUGUAGGUUUUAACUCCAACCCUGUUCCUGGAGUACCAUCCUGUAGGUUUUAACUCCAACCCUGUUCCUGAAGAGAUACCAUCCUGUAGGUUUUAACUCCAACCCUGUUCCUGGAGUACCAUCCUGUAGGUUUUAACUCCAACCCUGUUCCUGGAGUACCAUCCUGUAGGUUUUAACUCCAACCCUGUUCCUGGAGUACCAUCAUGUAGGUUUUAACUCCAACCCUGUUCCUGGAGUACCAUCCUGUAGGUUUUAACUCCAACCCUGUUCCUGGAGUACCAUCCUGUAGGUUUUAACUCCAACCCUGUUCCUGGAGUACCAUCCUGUAGGUUUUAACUCCAACCCUGUUCUUGGAGAUACCCUCCUGUAGGUUUUAACUCCAACCCUGUUCCUAGAGAGACACCCUCCUGUAGGUUUUAACUCCAACCCUGUUCCUGGAGUACCAUCCUGUAGGUUUUAACUCCAACCCUGUUCCUAGAGAGACACCCUCCUGUAGGUUUUAACUCCAACCCUGUUCCUAGAGAGACACCCUCCUGUAGGUUUUAACUCCAACCCUGUUCUUGGAGAUACCCUCCUGUAGGUUUUAACUCCAACCCUGUUCCUAGAGAGACACCCUCCUGUAGGUUUUAACUCCAACCCUGUUCCUGGAGUACCAUCCUGUAGGUUUUAACUCCAACCCUGUUCCUGAAGAGAUACCAUCCUGUAGGUUUUAACUCCAACCCUGUUCCUGGAGUACCAUCCUGUAGGUUUUAACUCCAACCCUGUUCCUGGAGUACCAUCCUGUAGGUUUUAACUCCAACCCUGUUCCUGGAGUACCAUCCUGUAGGUUUUAACUCCAACCCUGUUCCUGGAGUACCAUCAUGUAGGUUUUAACUCCAACCCUGUUCCUGGAGUACCAUCCUGUAGGUUUUAACUCCAACCCUGUUCCUGGAGUACCAUCCUGUAGGUUUUAACUCCAACCCUGUUCCUAGAGAGACACCCUCCUGUAGGUUUUAACUCCAACCCUGUUCUUGGAGUACCAUCCUGUAGGUUUUAACUCCAACCCUGUUCCUAGAGAGACACCCUCCUGUAGGUUUUAACUCCAACCCUGUUCCUAGAGAGACACCCUCCUGUAGGUUUUAACUCCAACCCUGU